rnacentral:rRNA from 1 species
GUGGGGAAUAUUGGGCAAUGGGCGCAAGCCUGACCCAGCAACGCCGCGUGAAGGAAGAAGGCUUUCGGGUUGUAAACUUCUUUUACCAGGGACGAAACAAAUGACGGUACCUGGUGAAUAAGCCACGGCUAACUACGUGCCAGCAGCCGCGGUAAUACGUAGGUGGCGAGCGUUCUCCGGAUUUAUUGGGUGUAAAGGGCGUGUAGGCGGGACAGCAAGUCAGAGGUGAAAACCAGAGGCUCAACCUCUGGCCUGCAUUUGAAACGGUUGUUCUUGAUUGUCGGGGAGGUAAUCGGAAUUCCGUGUGUAGCGGUGAAAUGCGUAGAUAUACGGAGGAACACCAGUUGCGAAGGCGGAUUACUGGACGAUAACUGACGCUGAGGCGCGAAAGCGUGGGGAGCAAACAGGAUUAGAAACCCGUGUAGUCC